GAUGGGUUCGGCUGCUGGAUCACUACCUAAACCUCUGACUAUGAUGUCUAUUUGAUGUCUGUGGAUGUUCAAGAGCAGUUUACUACUUGGAACUCUUAUUAGGACCUCUGAUAAACAUCUGUGGGCAUGCAAUACUGGUUUACUGCUUGGACCUUUGACUAGGACUUCUUUUGGACAUCUGUGGAUGUGCAAGAUGAGCUCACAACCUGGACCUCUGACUAGAAGCUUUCCAUGCCUACCUUCACGCAGCAGGGCUCUUCAGUACACUGACUUUAAACACCACUCGUCUUACUGAGCUUGGAGAGGCCACGAUCCUUCACGACGGCGCGCGUGUGUGUUGCAGGUGAAGCUACGGGAGAGGAACGGGAGCGCUGGUGGAGCCGCGGCUGCCUGAAGUCUCGGGUGACCCGGACCCACAUCUGUCCUAAUAAACAUCCUCAUAUCCUCGUAAAUACA
rnacentral:lncRNA from 1 species